UUUAAGUGCAACCAUGAAUUUCUGUACCCAACUUUGAUCGUCUGUCUUAUUUUUAUUGUAAUUAGUAUUUUUAUUGUUAUGAAAUGAUAAAUCAUGAAUAGUAUUUUAUACGUGACUUAUGUUUUAAAACUUUUAAAUUUUUUUAAUAAGACAGACAAUCAAAAUUAUGCACAUAAAAUCAUGAUUGUACUUAGA
rfam:Oryza meridionalis cultivar OR44 (W2112) chromosome 3, whole genome shotgun sequence.